rnacentral:tRNA from 1 species
GCCCCCAUAGUCUAGCCUGGAUAGGACACGGGCUUCCGGAGCCUGGGACCAGGGUUCGAAUCCCUGUGGGGGCG